AUUGAACGCUGGCGGCAGGCCUAACACAUGCAAGUCGAGCGGAUGAAGGGAGCUUGCUCCUGGAUUCAGCGGCGGACGGGUGAGUAAUGCCUAGGAAUCUGCCUGGUAGUGGGGGAUAACGUCCGGAAACGGGCGCUAAUACCGCAUACGUCCUGAGGGAGAAAGUGGGGGAUCUUCGGACCUCACGCUAUCAGAUGAGCCUAGGUCGGAUUAGCUAGCUGGUGGGGUAAAGGCCUACCAAGGCGACGAUCCGUAACUGGUCUGAGAGGAUGAUCAGUCACACUGGAACUGAGACACGGUCCAGACUACUACGGGAGGCAGCAGUGGGGAAUAUUGGGCAAUGGGCGAAAGCCUGAUCCAGCCAUGCCGCGUGUGUGAAGAAGGUCUUCGGAUUGUAAAGCACUUUAAGUUGGGAGGAAGGGCAGUAAGUUAAUACCUUGCUGUUUUGACGUUACCAACAGAGUAAGCACCGGCUAACUUCGUG
rnacentral:rRNA from 1 species